AGUUUGCUCAACUAUAAAAUGAGGCUAUAUCAGUUUUUACCCAAUAGGGUGAAUAUAAGGGUUAAGUUACAUAAUGUACGUAAAAUGCACAUGGUUGAUGGCCUCCAAGAUGACUCCAUCAAUUCCUUCCUCCUAUGCACAUGCUGCUCCUCUAGAGUGAGAUGAGGUCUAAUUCCUUUUUGCCCUCACGUCGAGACCAGCUUCAGUGACAUGCUCAACUACCAGAAGCCAGCAAAAGUGAAAUUCUAAAAUAGCUGAAGCUAAGUUACAGGAAGUCCUGCAGCUUCUGCCUGGACCUCUCGAAACACUUGCUUUUGUGAUGCUUCUUCUCAGAACCCGCUGUCAUGCUGCUAGAAGCCCUAGCCUGUUGGAGGGGUCACACAUCAUCCCUCUGGUUGACGAACCCAGCUAAGCUCAUGGUCAACAGCCAGCAUCACCCGCCAGCAUUGUGAGUGACCCCUCUUGGACAUGCAUCCCAGGAGAACCCUCAGAUGGUAAUGGCCCAGCUGACAUCUGACCACAACUGCAUGAUAAAUGCUGUACAGCAGAGAACAAAAGGGAGAGAGAAAUCAACUUGAACACACAGAGGACUUCUCCCCAAGACCAGCGGGGAGGAAGGUGAGUGAGAAGUCACACAGUCCUCAAGCCUGAAACAGAGCCGGGAAGUGGGAUGGCGGAGGCGUGUGUGAAAGUGGAGACUUCCUUUCUAAAGGUGCUCAAAGGAGAAUAUUGCACAACCACACUCAGGAGCAAUCCGGAUGCUUUAAAACAAUGCUGUGCAGAAACUGUUUUAGCUACACCAAAAGCAACUAUCUUUUGCUCCAGUCUAUGCGAACAUCAGUCCAUUUCUAUUCCAAAAAUCUUGCUUGAACCCCUAGGAUGUGUUGGAGACUAUAGCAAAUGUAAUCAAGGAGAGGAGGCUAGGAUUUACUGAAUACCACAGGUUCUGUACUGGGACAAUGGUUCAAAUUUCCUCAUUUAGUCCUGGUAAUAAUCCUCAAAGGUCUUUUUGCCCCUGUUUGCCAAAUGAGGAGACUGGGGCUCAGAAAGAAGACAUGACCUUGCCCAAGGUCACACAGUCAGUGGCAGAGGCUCAUCUGACCCCCAGUCCAUCCUCUUGCAGCUACAUCUUGCAGCAGCCGUGUAACCACAAAUGAGACACACCUCCUGCAAUGAAAGACCUUUUCAGUGAUUUGGAAGGAAAGGACACAUAUUAAGAUAAUAAUUACAAGAUUCCAGAAAACACACAAGGCUGGCCUGAGCGGGCAAGAAUUCAAGGAGAAAAUGAGAUUCCCAACUGAAUAAAUGUUUCCUUAUUUAUUCUUCCGAACAUCAUGUGUUGAGAGUUAAUCACACCCCUGCUCUGUGGCUUGUCACCAUCAUGGGUCUGUGACAGCCUCUUUCUUAUGUAUUUAUUAAUUAAUGUACUCGCUUUUCUCCUCGUUCCCUUCUCCCAGAAGCAAUCCAUCCUCAUAUAUUUCUUGGGCAUCUUUUUGCUUGAGUAUGUUCUUGCAAAAUGUAUAUUGUUUGGCAUGCGGGUUUAAAAGAUUUACAUAAAUGAUAUUAUGCAGAAUACCUCAUUCCUUUUCCUCACUCCGGGCUCGACUGUUAGGGUGUAUCUGCGGAGCUUCGUGUCUAUCUAAUGUGCUGAUGCCGAGAGCUGCGGCAGACUCUGGCUGCGUGUCCCCACACCUGCCCACCCGCUUCCGCAGUGAUGGACACUGAGACAGUGCCCAGCUCCCCACCUCUAGGACCCCACUGCAGUAUCUUUCUUUGUACAUGUCUUUUUACAGAGCUCUGUGAGGCUGUCUUUGGGCUAUCUGCCCAGGAGUGGAACUCUGGAGUUUGAUAUGUUUAAUUUGACAGUCAUGUCAGAUUGCUGUUCAGAAUUACACCAGUCUGCCUUUCCCAUCAGCCUUCCCUGAGAGUUCUUAUAACCUCUUAUCCACUCUGACACAUGGCAUGUAUCUAAUUUUUCCUAGUUUAAUAGGUGUGAAAUGACAUCUCAAAUUGCUUUAAUUUUAAUAUCUCUAAUUAUAAAUGAGUUUAUGUAAAGCAUACAGUCUUUUUUUAACUGCCUACUGUGUGCUGUGGGUGAUCUGGAACCAGCAGGUGACGUGGUCCGGGAUCUCACUAAGAUUUCACGAGGGUACAAAGCAAGACUGAGCUUAUAACAAGAGAGGCAUUAAAGGUGAGAAGACAGAACAGUUUGCAAUGAGAUUGAGAACAUCACUGUCCAACACUGAUAAUACAUUGGCAAGCGCUGAUUGAACCUCUUGGCCCAAUGCACCAACACAUUUGAAGGACCAAUUUACGUCUGACCAUCCUGGAGUGAAAUCAGACAAUUAGAAUCUUUUGUUAAAGAGAGGAAAACUCAAUUUGAAAAGACUAGAACUUUACCAAAAGGUGAAUUUGCUUUAUCAAAAAGCCUUAUCUUCAGCAUCCUACUAAGUUGCUAAUUGUGUUGCUAAAGAAAUACAGCCAUAAUUAAAGAGACAUCAUAAGGCCCCACUGAAAAGUAGCCUGAGUUAACACAGACUCUCCUAUCAAUAGAAAUUGUAGAUAAAAUAUUACAGUAAUAAUACAUAGUUGAGUUCACAAAAAAGAAAGGGAAAUCUCUGAAUGUCAGACAUGAAGAGAACAUGGAUGGAAUGGUGCCACAGUGGCCCGUAGAGAUAACAAACCACAUACAGGCCUUGGUCGAUCGAGUUGUUAUGCCCUAGAAGACUGAAGUUGUGACCCUAAGCUCAUGGGAGGUGGUUGCCUGGAAUCAAGACCCAAGUAUAGAGCUGUGAAACUGGCAUGGGUUGUCAUCGUUGGGAAGGAAGACAAGAAAUUCUUUCCAAUGGCUCAGGGGAACUGUAAGGAAUUUUGUCUUUAUUCAGGGUCUGGGAAGAAAAACUGAAACCCUGAGCUUGUGUCAAGCAUGGGGCAGGAGUCCCAAGGCAAGAAAUUAACACCAAAUUCUGUCCCAGUGCAGCAGCAGUAAAUGUAAAACCACUCAGUAGAAACAGUUCCAACCCGGGAUACAUGGUCCUCAUACUGCAGAAACGAUCCCCACUAAGAUGAGCUCAAAACUUUAAAAUGAAAAAAACCACAUCAAGAAAUAAUCCAUCAUAAAUAAUGGAGAGUAAGAUGACAUGACAAAAAGAGAUGAUUAAAAUGCAUUGUGAUGAUUGAAAUGCAUCUCUUUGAGAGAUGAGAGAAAUGCAUUACAAGGUGUAACAUGUGUCUAACAGGAGGACCUAGCAGGAAGAAGAGUGAACAGAGGAAUGAAAAGAAAAUACUCAGAGAUGUUGGCUUGAGAAUCUCUCAGAAUUGAUGGAAAGCAUUAAUCUUCAGAUUUAGGAAACAAAGUAUGUUCUGAUCAAAAGAAAGCAAAUCCAUACUUCAGAUACAUUGCAGUGAAAUUACAGAAUAUCAAAGAGAUAGUGAAAAGCAACCAGAGAUGAAAGACAUAUUUGCCUGUAAAGGAAUCACAGCUAGAUUCAGAGAAGAUUUCUCAACAAUGCCAUGAAAGUUCAGAAGAUGCUGGAAUUAUAUCUUACAAGAUCUGAGGGAGAAUAACUGCCAAUCUAGAAUUCUGUAGUGAAUUAACUAUUAAGCAAGGGUGAAGGCAAAUAAAGUCAUUUUUAGAAAAAAGA